GCAGCCUGCAAAGCUUCCCAGCCCCGUGCAACCUGGUGGUGAGCACGCCUGGCAUGCCCUACGUAGACCCUUUGCUUCUCCAGCUUGUCUUGAUUGAACGUCAUUCCCGGCACUGCACAGCCCUUACGGUAACACAGAGGAAAAAAUUUAUUUAGCGGGGCUUAAGGUCACGUUUUGAGCGUUAACAGUUACAAGAUCGGGAACAGAGAGUUACAAGAGAAAACAACACAUAAACCGCAGUCGUAUGCCGAGUGCAAGGGCCAGGCUGCUCCCUCGGCUCUGGUCCCGCGCGGCAGCGCAGGGAUGCUCAGAGCCCCACUGCCUGCCCGGGGCUGUCUGUGAAUGCGCGUUAAUGACACUUGCUGCCAGGGAAAAUAAAGGUGAUGCUCCUCGUGUCUUCCUGUAGGGUGAGGAUGGAUCGUCAUCGCAAUCCUGACUGCCACAUUCCCUCAUGGGGACAUUUGGUGAGGCUAAACCUUUCCGCAGGCGAGAACACGACCCCGGAGAGCUGUCAGCGUUGACUGCAGCCGUCCUGGCGGUGUGAUGACGGGCUGACGGCUGAUGUGAGCUUAAUGACUGGCAGGACAUUCUAUGAUUCCAUGAUGUACCGCCGGUUCCUCAGCGACUGAUCCGGGCAGGUCCUGUGUCCGAGGACUUACUCGCCAGAGAACGGGAGCACAGGAGAUUUACUCUGCACGCACUGCAGUCAAACGUGAGCCAAACUGUCGGCUGAAACACAGCAGACUGAGACUGGAGCAAGAAGAGUGAGGUGCCUCUUCACCCUUUGAUGCCCUCAAGCUUGCUGCAAGUGGAGGGCUCAGUUGCAUCUCCUGCAUGGCCACCACCAGGAGAAUGUACUGGAGAGACGGUGAGAAGAGAGACCUGCCGGACGCUGCUGGAGGUGUGGGGUCCUGCCAGCAUCAGCCUCCAUCCCUGAAGCAGGUGGUGGCACCGUCUUCACCUCAUCAAAGGCAAAACACUCAUUCUUGCCUGAGCAGGAUGAGCCACUAAUUGUAUGAGCUGCAUUGAUUUAGAGAAUGAAAUAUCCAAGGUAACAAAGCUGGGUGAAUUAAAAGCUUAACAGCCUGAAGAGGUGUUAUAACGCCACAAAUUCGUUGGGAACUUGUCUGGGCUAUCCCACUCCUUCUUGAGGCUGGCAUCCCUGCCAGGCAGUCUCAUCCUUCCCUCCAGGAUUGUGCUCGCUUGCUGGAUUUCCUCUUUCUAAGGAUGCUGCUUUAGGGGAAGGCAGAGUGGUGAUGCUGCUGCUCGUCCUGUUCCUUACCACGGCUCCCUACCCACCCCAGCUCCCCAGCGUGACCCGACGGGCACAGGGAUGGGAUUUUCCCAUCCCCACGGCUCUGCCCAUGGGCACGUUGCAGCCAGGAAACAGGCAGAACAGCCGAGGACUGCGCUUUGUGUUGGUGAUUUGGCAGCGACACAGCAUGGUGGGGUUGUUGGGGGGCUUCGAAAAGCCAGGAGACUAUUUCUCACUGUUUUUUGACCUAUCUUUGAUGAGCCAAAUAAUACCAGAAAAUGGGCUGUGUUUGCAAAGGUGAUGCCUCUGUGUUUCUCACUGGGGUAAACAAGAAGAAGAAUAGCAGGGAUGGUUCUGAGAAUCCUCUUCAGUCAUUGCUCUUCUUUCCUGGCAGUAUCAGCAAGCUCUCAAGCACCUCUGCUCUCUAAUCUAAUCAGUCCUAGGAAAACAGGAUUUGCCGCAGUGCCUGACCACUUAGGCACCCACCAGCAGAAUAAAGACCAGAUAUAUUUCAUAAGAAUGGCCAAAAGCUAUCCUAGCACCUUUAAAAUGCAGUGACAGCGUCUCCGGGACCUGGAUGUCUCCCUGCUUUGUGUUACUGCUCCGAAUUCCAGCGCUGCCAGCUUUGAGGAAGACUCUGGCAGGCAGGUUUGUCUAAAUGAAGGAGGAUUUGUACGCAGAAAGCUCUAGAAUAGUGAAGUAAUUUCUGUUCUCUCUAAAAUCCUGUGAUGAGGGCUGGUACAGCAGCUCCACCGUGCAGCUCUGUGCCGGUGCUUGUGUGUGUUUGUAAAGGAAAAAAGUGUUUCGAAGAGCGUAAAGAGCUGCUUGUGCUCACAGUCCCAAUAACAAGAUGUGUUUGCUACCACUGCAGUUAAAAACGGCACUUUUAAAACGUGGAUUUGCUCU